GAUGAACGCUGGCGGCGUGCCUAAUACAUGCAAGUCGAGCGAACAGACGAGGAGCGUGCUCCUCUGACGUUAGCGGCGGACGGGUGAGUAACACGUGGAUAACCUACCUAUAAGACUGGGAUAACUUCGGGAAACCGAAGCUAAGACCGGAUAAGUAAUUAAACCGCAUGGUUGAAUGAUUAAAGAGGGGUUUGCGUGACAGUAUGGAUGGAUCCGGGUCGCAUUAGCUAGUUGGUAAGGUAAGGGCUUACAAAGACAAGGAGCCGUCGCCAACCUGAGAGGGUGAUCAGCCACACUGGAACUGAGCCACGGUCCAGACUCCUACGGUAGGCAACAGUAGGGACUCUCCCGGCAUGGGCGAGAGCCUGCCGGUACAACGCCGCGUGCGUGAUGAAGGUCUUCGGAUCGUAAAACUCCGUCAUUAGGGAAGAACAAAUGUGUAAGUAACUACGCACGUCUUGUCGGUAACUAAACACAAAGCCACGGCUAACCACGUG
rnacentral:rRNA from 1 species